GGCAGCUGGCGGUCCAGCAUAUCGCAUCACGUUCUCGCCUUUUACUAGAGCAUGCCGUGUCGGGCCGUCACUCAAAAGCUGCUUACAAUAAUUUCUCGCUCCUCAGCGUUGCUCUGAGAC
rnacentral:snRNA from 1 species